UUACCUAUGUGGUAGUAGCCUAUUUGUACCAAGCGCCGUUCCUCUCUUAGACUUCUGAAUAGAAAACCCUAGAAUUCCCCGAAAAUGUCAGAUCUUCAUGUGGAUGUAAUCGCCGACAUACUAUCAAGAUUACCGGUGAAACCCCUUCUACGGUUCAGAUGCGUGUCAAAAUCAUGGUGUGCUCUGAUCGACAGCCAACAUUUCAUCAGAUCGCAUCUAAAUCGAUCCAUCGAAACCAACACCAAUCGCAGCAUCAUUUACAUGGAAAAUGAGCUCUACUCCUUAAAUUUGGACUCUGUCGACGAUGAUGGUACGGUAGUGCUUGACCACCCGUUGAAGAAUGAAGAGGAGGAUACUGAAUUGAUUGGUUCUUGUGAUGGGGUGCUCUGUUUGUUUAAUUCACACAAAGACAUUGCGCUGUGGAAUCCUUCCACCAGAAAACAUCACCAAUUACCAGUCGCACCGAUUGACUUCCCGCGCAAACGUCGUGUUUACCAGAAUACUGUAUACGGGUUUGGGUAUGAUUCUGUCAAUGAUGACUACAAGGUGAUGAGAGUGAUAGAGUAUUUUCGCAACGGUGAUGAUUCGUUUGAGUCUGAAGUUAAGGUUUAUAGUCUGAAGUUGAAUUUGUGGCGAAGGGUUCAAGAUUUCCCUUAUCACCUCUGGGAUGGGGAAAAUGCUUUGCUUGCUAAUGGAUCUUUGCAUUGGGUUGUGUGUCGAAGACCGGAUUCGGAUAGGUCCAGGUUGAUUGCUGCUUUUGAUUUUGGGGUUGAGGAAUAUCGAUUGGUGCCACAGCCUGAUUAUUCUGAUGAGAAUUUUGAGAUGAGUCUGGGGGUUCUAGGAGGAUGGCUUUGUCUAGUUACUGACUAUCGCAUGGUUGGUGUUGAUUUAUGUGUUGAUAUCUGGGCGAUGAAGGAAUAUGGAGUUAAAGAAUCUUGGACUAAAUUGUUUUCUAUUGCUCAACCCAGUACCCUCAGGUGGUUUGAUUAUGUGAGGCCUCUGGCUUUUUCAAAGACUGGUGGGGAAGUACUACUGGUACAGGACGGUGAAAGGUUUCUUUGGUACGAUUUAGAAAUGAAAACAAUCAAACAUUUUGAGAUUCAGGGUGUAGACUUUAUAAUGGAAGCUGACUUAUGUUUUCGAAGCCUUGUUCCGCUUCGGUGGUGAAGGUGGAAUUGAUGAGGAGAAGCAGUAAACACAAUAGGGUCGAUUUCUCUCUCUUUUAACUUGGUUUUAUUGGCUAGUUUAUGGUAUUCUUUAUUAUUAUGAUAUUUUAAUAACAGGAAUAGAGGCAAUACAGUGUACGUUCAGGUUUAACCAAUUCCUCUAUGAAGGCAAGGAGGUACUCUUCUUGGAUGCACGUCAUCCUUAGCUCGGACUUAUGUUUAUGUUUUGAACAUCUUUUGUGUAAUAUUCACAUGCAAGUGUUAGCAUGUUGUAUGUAUCUUUUGGGGUUGCCAAUGUGUAAUAUAUUUAGAAGCUUGCUUAGCUUCUUUUUGUUUGUGUAACUUCCACCCAAGUACUCUCUUUUAUGUUAACUUGACAUGUAUGUGAUGAGGCCAAGGGCCAAGUACUUUCAAUGUAUGUAAAUUAGGGCGCUUUGUAUCAAAUAUUCAUUUUUUCUUUUUGCAUUU